UACGGAGGAUGCAAGCGUUAUCCGGAUUCAUUGGGUUUAAAGGGUCCGCAGGCGGGAUAAUAAGUCAGAGGUGAAAUCCUACGGCUCAACUGUAGAACUGCCUUUGAUACUGUUAUCCUAGAGUGUAGUUGAUGUGGGCGGAAUAUGUCAUGUAGCGGUGAAAUGCUUAGAUAUGACAUAGAACACCGAUCGCGAAGGCAGCUCACAAAGCUACAACUGACGCUCAGGGACGAAAGCGUGGGGAUCAAACAGGAUUAGAUACCCUAGUAGUCC
rnacentral:rRNA from 1 species